CCCCUCUCAGGAUUGCACCUGGAGAGUUUCUAGUACUCUACCAGUCUUGGCUAUGGGAGGAAAGGUCAAGCAGAGGCAUAUCCAUUCCAUUCAUAGCUUGGGCAGUGGCUAGUGUGUGGAAGGCAAUCUGCUAUGAGU